GUCAAAUCAAGUGUCUAAUAUCUAAUCAGUAAACUGACGUUCUACAUGUAACUUUUGGAUUGAUUCAAAAUAAACGCAAGGAAACUGUUGGUCUAGAAGCAUUUCAGAAGCAGAAGACGAGUUAUGUAUAACACUGUUUUUUCAUACUCGUUAUGCUAUAAUCUUCAGUUGCUCCUCAAUACCGAUGCUACAGAAUUUGUAAAGAUUUUUU
rnacentral:misc_RNA from 1 species